rnacentral:tRNA from 1 species
GGGGUUGUGGCUCAGUGGUACAGUGCUUGCCUAGCAUGCGUGAGGCACUGGGUUCAAUCCCCAGCACCACA